AUUGAACGCUGGCGGCAGGCCUAACACAUGCACGUCGAGCGGAUGAAGGGAGCUUGCUCCUGGAUUCAGCGGCGGACGGGUGAGUAAUGCCUAGGAAUCUGCCUGGUAGUGGGAGAUAACGUCCGGAAACGGGCGCUAAUACCGCAUACGUCCUGAGGGAGAAAGUGGGGGAUCUUCGGACCUCACGCUAUCAGAUGAGCCUAGGUCGGAUUAGCUAGUUGGUGGGGUAAAGGCCUACCAAGGCGACGAUCCGUAACUGGUCUGAGAGGAUGAUCAGUCACACUGGAACUGAGACACGGUCCAGACUCCUACGGGAGGCAGCAGUGGGGAAUAUUGGACAAUGGGCGAAAGCCUGAUCCAGCCAUGCCGCGUGUGUGAAGAAGGUCUUCGGAUUGUAAAGCACUUUAAGUUGGGAGGAAGGGCAGUAAGUUAAUACCUUGCUGUUUUGACGUUACCAACAGAAUAAGCACCGGCUAACUUCGUG
rnacentral:rRNA from 1 species